rnacentral:rRNA from 1 species
GAUGAACGCUGGCGGCGUGCUUAACACAUGCAAGUCGAACGGAGUCUGCAUGAAACCUAGUGAUUGUAGACUUAGUGGCGGACGGGUGAGUAACGCGUGGGUAACCUGCCUUGUACUGGGGGACAACAGUUGGAAACGACUGCUAAUACCGCAUAAGCGCACAGCUUCGCAUGAAGCAGUGUGAAAAACUGAGGUGGUACAAGAUGACCCGCGUCUGAUUAGCUGGUUGGUGAGGUAUCGGCUCACCAAGGCGACGAUCAGUAGCCGGCCUGAGAGGGUGAACGGCCACAUUGGGACUGAGACACGGCCCAAACUCCUACGGGAGGCAGCAGUGGGGAAUAUUGCACAAUGGGGGAAACCCUGAUGCAGCGACGCCGCGUGAGUGAAGAAGUAUUUCGGUAUGUAAAGCUCUAUCAGCAGGGAAGAAAGAAAUGACGGUACCUGACUAAGUAGCCCCGGCUAACUAC